UACAGAGGGUGCGAGCGUUGUCCGGAAUCACUGGGCGUAAAGGGCGCGUAGGCGGCUCGACCAGUCUGGGGUGAAGGCUCAGCGCUCAACGCUGAGUCGGCCCCGGAUACUGUCGAGCUCGAGUUGACUAGAGGCCGAUGGAAUUCCGGGUGUAGCGGUGGAAUGCGUAGAGAUCCGGAAGAACACCGGUGGCGAAGGCGGUCGGCUGGGGUCAGACUGACGCUGAGGCGCGACAGCGUGGGGAGCAAACAGG
rnacentral:rRNA from 1 species